rnacentral:rRNA from 1 species
ACGGAGGGUGCAAGCGUUAAUCGGAAUUACUGGGCGUAAAGCGCACGCAGGCGGCUUGUUAAGUCAGAUGUGAAAUCCCCGGGCUCAACCUGGGGACUGCAUCUGAUACUGGCAGGCUUGAGUCUCGAAGAGGGGAGUGGAAUUCCAGGUGUAGCGGUGAAAUGCGUAGAGAUCAGGAGGAACACCGGUGGCGAAGGCGGCUUCCUGGACGAUGACUGACGCUCAGGCGCGAAAGCUUGGGUAGCAAACAG